rnacentral:rRNA from 1 species
AACGAACGCUGGCGGCAUGCCUAACACAUGCAAGUCGAACGAACCCUUCGGGGUUAGUGGCGCACGGGUGCGUAACGCGUGGGAAUCUGCCCUUUGCUUCGGAAUAACAGUUAGAAAUGACUGCUAAUACCGGAUGAUGUCUUCGGACCAAAGAUUUAUCGGCAAAGGAUGAGCCCGCGUAGGAUUAGGUAGUUGGUGGGGUAAAGGCCUACCAAGCCGACGAUCCUUAGCUGGUCUGAGAGGAUGAUCAGCCACACUGGGACUGAGACACGGCCCAGACUCCUACGGGAGGCAGCAGUGGGGAAUAUUGGACAAUGGACGCAAGUCUGAUCCAGCAAUGCCGCGUGAGUGAUGAAGGCCUUAGGGUUGUAAAGCUCUUUUACCAGGGAUGAUAAUGACAGUACCUGGAGAAUAAGCUCCGGCUAACUCCGUGCCAGCAGCCGCCGUAAAAC